GGCUAUCUCAUGACCAAGUUAGUCCAACCCAUUUUACAUGUCUAGUUUUACAUGUUUAUCCACAUUUCCAUCACAUCAUAUAUUUUCAUAAAUUCUCAAAAAUAUGUUAUUUCUUCCCAAAUGAAUUUAUUCAAUAUUUUCAUAAUAAACAAAAUGCAUGUCUCAUAGGUAUCGCAUCAUCUCAUAAAACAAUAGCAACAUAAUUAUGAAAUAAAUCCAACAAUAAAUCAAAUAUAUGCAUAGAGUGCUCAGAUGUAGGGACUCUUACAGAAAUUUGUGGACUGACUCAAAUACGGAUCCGGAUCACAAUCUACGAGCUGGGGUGCUGAGUCCCCUGAUCAAAACCUCCUGACACCACUGUCUCCUCCCCUACAGCAUCAAUUACAAUCACAAACUAAAUCAUUUAAUAUUUAAAUAUUCAAAACUAUAAUUCACAUCUGCUAUGGGGUCCAUCACUAGGUCCCCAAACAUCUCAAUCCCUCCAGAUCUAGGGCAGUCGGGGUGGCCCAACUCCCACCCUUGUACCACCGGCCUGUGUUGUUGCCUGCCGUGGCCGCAGCCAUGCCGGCGAUGAUGGCCGGUCCCAGUGAAGAGAUCAAGAGAAAGGGAUGAUUCCUCUCUCUUCAUGGUUGGGAAUACAUCUUCCUCCCUCAAAUCUUUUUGAUCCAAGGGCAAUAGCCAUGGUGGCUGCCCUCUCCUUCCCCGACCCAACACACCUCGGCCACUACUGGUCGGACCAUUGCCGGCCGCCCCUGCUGCAGUCGCCGGCGAUGGUGGCUAGCCAAGAGAAAGAGAGAAGAAGAAGUCUCCUCCUCUUCUUCUUCUUUUUCUUCUCCUUCUUCUUCUUCUUCUUCUUCUU
rnacentral:lncRNA from 1 species